GCUUUCUCCUUCGGGCUGUCUCUCCCGUUCCACCAUGGUAAGACGUGACUGCUUCUCCUUCGCCUUCUGUCAUGAUUGAGAAGGAGAAGGGGCACUUACCCAGGAGUACCGAACACUCUCAGCCUGCUCUCUUGGUCUCCUUCAUGUCUGUUUCUGCCCUGCUGAUUUUCUGCCUUCAGAAACAAAGAAGAAUCCAGCUUUUCUUCAUGAUGCAGGAUGUUGUAUGUACUUGGAGCCAUCCUCAGUCACAGCUGCCCCUUCAUGAUUCCAAGAGAUAACUGGGUUUCUGAACACUGAGCAUCAACAUCUCCAGUCUCAUCAUGGGAGACACUCAUCCAGAAGCAAAUCUCAGCCAACGGGAGUGGAGCCAACGUGGGAGGCUGCAACUGCAGUAAGAUUGCCACCAUUCAGGGACCAGCCAGGAUCUCAUGCCUACUGCUGCUUUGGUGGCUAUGAUGGACCAUUUCAACAGGUGACCACACGGAGAAUUGAACAACAUAUUCUUAUGGAAACAGCACCUGUACAGGGAAAGGCAGGGCAUGUGGGGAAACACAGGAAACAACACAGAGGCAGAAGCAGCACUUGAGGGGGAAACAGUGCUCCUCUGGGCUCGGCAUGCUGCGUUGUCUGCUGGGCGGCUGGCGGAGGACCAGGGCACAGAGCAGUAUUUAACUGCUCAGCUCUUGCUCUGAACAGCUGAGCUAUAAAUGCUCAUACCUCAGCCGAAGAAUAAGCAACCUAAUCUGAAAUCGUAUUCCAGUAAAAAUAAAAAUAUGUUGGGUUGGAAGAAA